rnacentral:rRNA from 1 species
UACGAAGGGGGGCUAGCGUUGUUCGGAAUUACUGGGCGUAAAGCGCACGUAGGCGGAUUGUUAAGUUAGGGGUGAAAUCCCAGGGCUCAACCCUGGAACUGCCUUUAAUACUGGCAAUCUCGAGUCCGAGAGAGGUGAGUGGAAUUCCGAGUGUAGAGGUGAAAUUCGUAGAUAUUCGGAGGAACACCAGUGGCGAAGGCGGCUCACUGGCUCGGUACUGACGCUGAGGUGCGAAAGCGUGGGGGAGCAAACAGGG